GCCCCUAAAGCUGAUUUUUGAAUAGAUGACGAAGCACAAAUAUACAAAAGGAUACAAAGUGAAAAGGUCACGUGUGAGAGACAGCUCGAUCAGGAGCGAGCAGGUGGCCUCUCUUUCUGCCUCCUGCUAGCUACCGUGAAAACAGUCAGCAGAGCCUGCAAACGCGCUCGCCGGGACUUCCUGUGGCCACACGAGAGCCUGCUUACCAGCACACCCCGGAAUAGAAUCUCCCCGCAGGGUUGUCAUGGGCAUUAAAGCAGAAUGUAGACUCCUUGGCACCAUGCCAGGCACACCAGAACUGCUCCAUAAGUGCAGGCUGCUGCUGCCCUAACAGAAGAAAGCAGAGGUCCGGCCCCCAUGAGCCCUGUUCCUUCCCCAUUUCACUGCUGGGGCCGGGCUGGGGGCAUCUUUUAGCCCUGGGAAGCAUCCAAGCUGUCUGAUGUGAGAGACCCCCCCCAAGCCUUGAAAAAGCCCUGUCUUGUGGAUGCUGAGAUAGAAGAUUUGUAAGGACCCCUGGCUGCCCCGAGGAGGACAGUGGGGCUUUCUCUGGCCCUCCCAGGGGAGCUGGGAACACCUGUCUCUGGGCAGGACCCCACAGGG
rnacentral:lncRNA from 1 species